UUUUCUUAGAUACCUCUUGAUUAAGUGCAGGUUGCUUGCCCUUGUCCUUGGCAAGGAUCUUAUGCGUAGGAAUUGGAAUCCUUUUAGACACAGUAGGUGGAGGUGAAGGAGUUCCACUUGUUGAAGAUGAUGAAGGUGAAGGGGUAUGGGCUUGGGUCUGUUUCACUCGAGCCAUGUUUGUAGAUUGAAGAGAUUGAGUGAAGAUAGAGUGUAGAUUGAAUUUAGAUAUCAGUUGCAGAGACAGAGCAA
rnacentral:lncRNA from 1 species